GGGAAUAUUGGACAAUGGGGGAAACCCUGAUCCAGCAAUGCCGCGUGAGUGAAGAAGGCCUUAGGGUUGUAAAGCUCUUUCGCCCGCGAAGAUAAUGACGGUAGCGGGAGAAGAAGUCCCGGCUAACUCCGUGCCAGCAGCCGCGGUAAUACGGAGGGGGCUAGCGUUGUUCGGAAUUACUGGGCGUAAAGCGUACGUAGGCGGAUGCGCAAGUUGGGGGUGAAAUCCCGGGGCUUAACCUCGGAAUUGCCCUCAAAACUGCACGUCUUGAGACCGAGAGAGGUAAGGGGAAUUCCUAGUGUAGAGGUGAAAUUCGUAGAUAUUAGGAAGAACACCAGUGGCGAAGGCGCCUUACUGGCUCGGUACUGACGCUGAGGUACGAAAGCGUGGGGAGCAAACA
rnacentral:rRNA from 1 species